rnacentral:lncRNA from 1 species
GUAAAAUUUAAAAGUGAGGUAUCAAAGGUUAAACCAAACAUUUUUAUGGUCAGGGAAAGAGCUUGACAAUAAUUGCCACCCUGGAAUGAUUAGAUAGAAACUGGUCAUCUCACUAGCACUCACCAAAUCAUCAAAAUGGACAGCCCUUUCUUUUGACCAGUCCUUUGCCCUAAAUGGGUUCCUUUAGAUUUGUCUGUGCUUCAGUGGCCUGACUGGUAGUUUUCAGAGCAAUGUUCUUGGUUUGUAUAAUUCAGUUUCUAGCUUUUUCCUAAUUUCCUUUUCAUUAAUCUGGAUAUUUCAUCUUCCUCCAGUUGUUUCCAGGACCCUCAGAUCUGGGGAAUUGCCAAUCUACUUACUAAAGUAGGAGACCCGAUCUUCCAAGAAGAAACAAAAUGACUCCUGGAAACUUUGAACUUUGCUCCUGGAAUAAGUCCUUGUACACACUUCCAUCUUGCUUUUCUUACUUACCCCCAAAUGAGGUUUUGUGUUAUUAGAAUGACAGUAACUCUCAAGAGAGGUGGACAUUUAUAGGCCAAAUACUGAGU